CUCUCUCGGUCUCUCAUUGCGUAGAUGCACUCCCAUUGCUCAUGUUCUUCACUCUGGAGUUGUUUGAACAACAUCUCCAGAAACUCUACCCGAAGACCAUGCGAAAUUAAAGAUUUACCUGGGCUUUACGUUAAUAUCUCAGCGUUGAUGUUGGUAUCCUCUGUCAAUUUUUGAUUUCUACAAACCCCAGUCCGUGGGGAUCUAUACGAUCUAGCGCAAACUACUACAAAUUCUUAGAUGAAUUUCCUAUUCCGGUCACAAUCACUGUAGAAUCUUGGGAUUAAGAGACUAAAAUUUGGAUGAAAAUAAGUUGCUUGGAGUUUGAUAUCAAAAGCAACUCUUAACUGUAUGAACCUCUGUUGAAUAGAGCACAGAAAAAAUAGAUGUUGGAUCUGUUUCUAGAACAUAAUGGGAAUUGUACAAAAGAGGGAAUGAAAGACAUUCAGUACUACACUAUAGGUGUUUUAGUAUCGUAUAAAAAAGAGGAUGUAAAGAAUAUCAUAGGAACGGUUAAUACGCACAGCUGACAGAUAAGUUUUUUUCGGGUUACCAAUGUCUGAUAUUAUGUUAUUACCAACUUGCAGAUCCUUUUGUGUGUUCAUUCAUUAGACACUGUUUAUAAAGAGUUACCCAGCUAAUUCUGUUUUUGGCAAAUCCAGCUAAUCGGUUACAUCAACGUUACCAGCUAACAUUAAUUAAGGAAGCGUUGUAAUAUCAAAGUCUGUGAAAUGAAAGGUUAGGAUGGUAUCAAGCAAAUGUUGAAUAAAGGGCCGGGAAGUUUUCAUCAAAGGACUUUGAAGUGAGCUUAAAGAUGACAGAGGCUGUAUGGUUAUCCUUCAGAUCAUCUGCGCUGAUUCCAAGUAGAUCGAGGCACUCCCGGUCCCAUAGAAGGAAAGGAGCAUUGCCAUCCAAGUCCACAACCCUAACCUUAAUUCUGAAGCAUAGUACCACUCUGGAUCAUCAAUGAAUACAAUCCUAGCUGCCACCCAAAAAUCGCCAAACUGCAUCAUAUGAAAGAAUGUAUGUGGACAAAAACACAAGACCUGAAAGCAAAUUAGUGGACUGCUCACUGGUGGAAUAUCAACAAUUAGUG